rnacentral:lncRNA from 1 species
GCUGUAUCUAUAUUUAUGCUGCAUCUACUUCUAGACUGUGCUGGACAAGACGUCAGUCACAGAGGGAGGGUUGUGUCCGACCGAUUGGCUCAGCUCCGGUGUGAUGGACAACCCAGACCUUCUACUGUGCCUGGUGAUGCGCACAGGAGGAACACGGAUCAAAUCAAUUGCUGGACCAGAAUCCCCCAAUCUCAGGUAAGUAGGGGUGUGAGUUGAUUUGUUGCCUCUCGGAGACUGCUCACGAUGACCGAUGGCGGACACGGGCUGCCACCAUGAUGGACAGCACCCUAUAGCCUGUGAAAGGAGCUUAUACUCUCUUGUCUCUGGACAGAAUUGCCAGAUCACGUGACUGAUCUUUUCCCACCUUACAGAAAAAAUUGCACCAGAAACCCAACAAGAAGGGAGACCAACAUGGCUCCGAAACAACAAGAUUACAGAAUUCAAAAUGGAGAUUGUGAACAAGUUUUUAAAAUGAUACCAUAACACAAUAUAUGGUUAGAAUACAUAUAACAGUUUUCUCAUACAGUCUGGGCCAGCAUAAGAAAGAAAAACAUGAGGCUCCUUCAGGGAUUGCUCCCACUUCUUCCCACUCUUCCUGACUGCUGAAUGCUGUCAUUGAAAUCUAUCCAUGUAGACAGAUGGAUGUAAUGAUGUUUGAUUUUUGGUAGGGCAGAAAACAGAAAAGAAAAAUAAAUCAAAGGCAAGAUGGUCA